GAUGAAGAACGUAGCGAAAUGCGAUAAGUAGUGUGAAUUGCAGAAUUCAGUGAAUCAUCGAAUCUUUGAACGCACAUUGCGCCCUUUGGUAUUCCUUAGGGCAUGCCUGUUCGAGCGUCAUUUAAACCUUCAAGCUAAGCUUGGUGUUGGGUGACUGUCCGCCUCACGGCGGACUCGCCUCAAAAUUAUUGGCGGCCGGUACAUUGGCUUCGAGCGCAGCAGAAUCGCGAACUCGGGCCCGUCGUAUUGGCUCCCAGAAGCUAUCUUCACAAUUUUGACCUCGGAUCAGGUAGGGAUACCCGCUGAACUUAAGCAUAUCAAUAAGCGGAGGA
rnacentral:misc_RNA from 1 species